UGUAGAGGUUUCCACAUAGACAUCCAGUAUAUUCUGUGAACAUGAAAAAUCUUUUCUCUAAAUCAGAAGUCAUUUUUACAAGAUGACAAGCAAUUUUGAAUUAGUUCUUUCGUGCGAGCUUUUCACAAUUUUAGUGCUAACCUUGCUGUAUAUCCGUAAUCUUGCAGUGGUGGGAUGAAUGGUUACAUUUUUGUUUCUAAUAGACCAGUGUAGCCUGCGCAAAUAGAUUCACCAAUUAGUGGCAUGGAUAUGAUUGCUGAUAAUAAAGUCUUGUCAGUGUUCUACAAGUGUCCAGCCUUCCAUGUACACAUUCCUAGACCACCAAGUGGAGUUCAUUAUCCAAAUAAGUCUAUCCUCAAGAAGCAUGUUAAACCCACACCAUUUUUUUGGCAUGAGAAGUCUGCUGUUGUUGGACGGUUGCAUUCUUUAAGCUAAACAAAUGGACUCACAACAAAGACAAGUGCACAAAGGAUGAUGAAUUGAAGGAUGGAGCAAGUUUCACGCAUGGUUUACUUUUGUGUAUCUUGUAAUGUUUCUAUUUUUCAUUUUUGAAGUAAAAAUUGUUCAAGAUUAUAAAACUUUAUUAUGUUAUGCUUUCAAACUUAAGUUAGAACU